UUAUUUUAGGGUACACCAAAGUUGAGGACUUUAUAUAAAUGUGGGUGUGGGGCUGUUGAGUCUUUACAAGGAGUGUUGGUGAGACUUUUUAGCAUUAGUGGAACUUGUUCAUAGCUAGUGGUCUUGUUUCCCUCUAGCUAGUGUAUGUGUGUGAUAUGGGCAGGCAACCUUGCUGUGAUAAACUUGGGGUCAAGAAAGGGCCAUGGACAGCUGAGGAAGACAAGAAACUGAUCAACUUCAUUCUCACCAAUGGCCAGUGCUGUUGGAGAGCUGUCCCUAAGCUUGCCGGACUCCGGCGAUGUGGUAAGAGCUGUCGUCUUCGUUGGACUAAUUAUCUUCGCCCUGACUUGAAGAGAGGCCUUCUCAAUGAAGCUGAAGAGCAAUUGGUCAUUGAUCUUCAUGCUCGUCUUGGCAAUAGGUUAAAUCUCUUAAUUAUUCUAUGCUUCACUAACUAAUUUGUUAUUAGGGAGAGAUGAUCAUGCAUAUCUUCAAAGCAUUUUUUAUUUAAAAUUUUUAAGUGUUUUUGGAACUUCUUUUAAUUAAUAAACUUUUUUUGGAUCUUCUCUUCCUUAUUUUGGUCUCACAUUUUUCAAUAAUUAUAUAUUGUAUUGUAUUUUGAAUUCACCCUCAUCUUAAUCCCAUAUUUCUUGGUAAUUUCAUAAAAAUGAUUUUACAAUUUUUCUUUUUUAGAAUUACAUUUUUAUUUCGAAUUUAUUUUUAAUAAUAAAGGAGCACCUUUUUUUUAGUAAUUAAAUUCAUUUUUAUCCUUAAAGCAAUUAUUUUUGAAUAAACUCAACACAUAGUUUUGAUAAUUUGAUUUUAGUUAGUGGCUUUAGCGUCCAAAUAGAUGUGGAUGCUGGUGUACGCAUUUAUAUAAAUUUUAUUUGAUUGUUAUUGUUAAAUUUCCUUACAUUUAAUUUUAACUAAAACUUUGAUUGAUUGUAUAUAUUAAAAUUUCGUUUUGCAUCCGCUCUUGGCGUUUGGCGUGGUGGCUUCAUCGGGCUAUUUAUAAUAUACUCCUUGAGCACUACAAAAUAGUGCUCUGCACACACACAACAUUACGGUUAUUCUUUAAUUUUAGGAGAAAUGGAUCCUACAUAUUGUAAGAAAGCAUGUGCUACAAGAGCAAUAAAUGAUCUCUCAGCUUCAUCAUUGAUGUCUUCUAAAUAUAAUAGGACCUCAAAAUAUUUUUUUUACUGUAAAAAUAAGCUUUGUUUUCUUUAAAGAAGAUAAUGCGUUUUUGAAAUGAAGUGUUUGACAAGGUGACUUGCACAGUCUCUGCAUUUGUGGGGAAGGUCCGCCUAAUAUUUUGCCAAAGAUGUGACUGAUUAUGAUUGUGAUAAUAUCUGUAUUUCAACUAUAACUAAUAUUUCAACCUUUUUCUCUUUGUAUUCUUUAGAAUAUGUACUUUUGAACGAAUAAGCAGGCGGAGCCAUAAAAAGUUUUGUCGAAGAGUGUGAAAGCUAGCAUAAAUUAGUAUAUUUAAUGAUGCCGUAUCUUGAUUUUAGCUUUCCAAUUAUUAAUUUUCAUAUAAUCUUCAAUUUGCUUAAGAUUCAAGUGAUUAAUACUUGUGUAACUCUGCAUUUUCUUGCAAUUCUUUGUCUGGUUAUUCAUUUCCAUUUGUUUUUAUAUACUUAGGUGGUCAAAGAUUGCUGCUAGGUUGCCUGGAAGGACAGACAAUGAGAUCAAGAAUCACUGGAACACCCACAUCAAGAAAAAGCUUAUUAAGAUGGGGAUUGAUCCUGUUACGCAUGAAUCCUUCCAUAAAGAGCCCAGGACCGAGGAAAGUUCAUCGAUAUCCCAGACUGAUAAUCUUUUACCGGAAUCUGGCAGCAAGAACAACAGUAGUAUGCGAGAAAAUGAUGGUGGCAUCGUAAACUCGGAGGAAAAUUCAAGCUCAUCGCAUGAAAAUUGUUGUAGUGAUGAAUCGAUUCUAUUAGAUAGUAUCUGCAACGACGAAACGUUAUUGAAUAGCUUGUGGAUGGAUGAGCCUCCUCUAGUUGACGCAUCAUGGAACAAUAAUAAUCCUCCUGCAACAGAUAAUACUAACAAUAAUGGAGAAUUGGGUUAUCCAUAUCCAUCGUGGGAAGAUAAUUGCACCUGGUUAUUGGAUUGCCAAGACUUUGGAGUCCAUGAUUUUGGCUUUGAUUGCUUCGACGACCUGGAGUUUAAGUCACUGAACGCAUUAGAGAUGGAACAAAAGCACUAGAAUAAUCGUAUGUUACGUACGUACGUAGUGAGAAAAUUUUAAGGUUCAAAUGGGAGGAAAAAAACAAAAGAAAUUAAAAGGAUACAGAAAGAAUCAUGUAUAGCUGAAGUUAGGUUCUGGAAAGUGCUGAAUUUUUAUCAGUUAUGCAUCAGAUCAUAGUUGGGGGGUCGAAGCAAAACCUGUCUUCUUUAGAGGUUUCUCACCAACCAAGUCAAAAACAGUCCCAAAAAAAUAUCAUUAAAAUUUGACAUUAUUAUUCUUGGUGCUUUUUACGAAUUUCAUAGUCUUAUGUGUAACAGAUAGGGACCCGUUUGGACCAUUGUCUAAAAACAAAAUGUUAGUGGGCUUGUCUGAAAAUUAUAACAUUAUUUGUAUAUAAAUGUUGUAUGAUGUUGCGAAUAAAUUAAAGUGGAUAUACA
rnacentral:misc_RNA from 1 species